rnacentral:rRNA from 1 species
AGUGAACGCUGGCGGUAGGCCUAACACAUGCAAGUCGAACGGCAGCACAGUAAGCGCUUGCUCUUACGGGUGGCGAGUGGCGGACGGGUGAGGAAUACAUCGGAAUCUACUUUUUCGUGGGGGAUAACGUAGGGAAACUUACGCUAAUACCGCAUACGACCUACGGGUGAAAGCAGGGGAUCUUCGGACCUUGCGCGAUUGAAUGAGCCGAUGUCGGAUUAGCUAGUUGGCGGGGUAAAGGCCCACCAAGGCGACGAUCCGUAGCUGGUCUGAGAGGAUGAUCAGCCACACUGGAACUGAGACACGGUCCAGACUCCUACGGGAGGCAGCAGUGGGGAAUAUUGGACAAUGGGCGCAAGCCUGAUCCAGCCAUACCGCGUGGGUGAAGAAGGCCUUCGGGUUGUAAAGCCCUUUUGUUGGGAAAGAAAAGCGGCAGGUUAAUACCCCGCUGUUCUGGCGGUACCCAAAGAAUAAGCACCGGCUAACUUCGUG